rnacentral:rRNA from 1 species
AUUGAACGCUGGCGGCAUGCUUUACACAUGCAAGUCGAACGGUAACAGGCCGCAAGGUGCUGACGAGUGGCGAACGGGUGAGUAAUGCAUCGGAACGUGCCCAGUCGUGGGGAUAACGCAGCGAAAGCUGCGCUAAUACCGCAUACGAUCUAUGGAUGAAAGCGGGGGACCGUAAGGCCUCGCGCGAUUGGAGCGGCCGAUGUCAGAUUAGGUAGUUGGUGGGGUAAAGGCUCACCAAGCCAACGAUCUGUAGCUGGUCUGAGAGGACGACCAGCCACACUGGGACUGAGACACGGCCCAGACUCCUACGGGAGGCAGCAGUGGGGAAUUUUGGACAAUGGGCGCAAGCCUGAUCCAGCAAUGCCGCGUGCAGGAAGAAGGCCUUCGGGUUGUAAACUGCUUUUGUACGGAACGAAAAGGCUCUGGAUAAUACCUGGGGCUCAUGACGGUACCGUAAGAAUAAGCACCGGCUAACUACGUGCCAGCCGCCGCGGUAAAAC